UCUCUGAUAGUAUAUCGGUUAGUACACGCGCCUGUCAUCUUCGUGGUGCUUAGAAUUUGGUCGCGCGAAAGCUGGGUUCGACUCCCAGUCAGAGAG
rnacentral:tRNA from 1 species